rnacentral:rRNA from 1 species
UGGGGAAUUUUCCGCAAUGGGCGAAAGCCUGACGGAGCAAUACCGCGUGAGGGAAGAAGGCUCUUGGGUUGUAAACCUCAAAACUUAGGGAAGAAAAAAAUGACGGUACCUAAUGUAAGCAUCGGCUAACUCCGUGCCAGCAGCCGCGGUAAUACGGAGGAUGCAAGCGUUAUCCGGAAUCAUUGGGCGUAAAGAGUCCGUAGGUGGCACUUCAAGUCUGCUUUCAAAGACCGAAGCUCAACUUCGGAAAGGGAGUGGAAACUGAAGAGCUAGAGUAUAGUAGGGGUAGAGGGAAUUCCUAGUGUAGCGGUGAAAUGCGUAGAGAUUAGGAAGAACACCAGUGGCGAAGGCGCUCUACUGGGCAUAUACUGACACUGAGGGACGAAAGCUAGGGGAGCGAAAGGGAUUAGAUACCCCUGUAGU